UCCUAUUACUGCAAUUUGAUUUUCUUUGCUGGUGUCGUGAUGUGUAGAGGCAUUUUUAGCAAAAAAGGCUGUGACCAAUAACUAAAAAGCAACCCCUAAGAAAAUAUUAAUACAAGUCUUAGAAUUAAGCAGUGUUAAGAUAUAAUAUGGUAUAUUAGCAAGUCGUAAAAUGCAUUUGUUAUAGAUUAAUGAUACAUCUAAUUCACGGACGUGUGGGCUGUUCAUUGUAGUGCUAAAUAUUAGCAGUUAUAUUAAGUUUUAAUUUAAUAGGUAUAUGUUAAAAUAGCUGUAAGAAGUACCAGUGAGUGAGUGAUGAAGGUUUUAAUUAGAAGAUUGAUGGAUUCCCCAACAACGAGCUUCUUGACUUUUGAACAAACAGGGACCGUCAGUGUCAGCGAACCUGAUUUUGAAUCCCUGAAGCUUCUAGGAGGAGGAAGUCAGAAUAUGUCAUGGAAGAUAAUUCAAAAUAAUGCAGAAUUUGUUAAUCUCGUAUCUAUAACAAUGGAAAUGUUUUAGCAACAAUACCAAUCUUUUACUUUCCUUUUCUGAUGGCUGACAUUAUUGAAUUUUUUCCCAGCAAAGUACCGGGUCUCCAAUUUAUUCGGCUGCGGUCGUGCUUGCAUUGCGUAGUCGGCCGACGCACUGUUGAUGUCGGCGGGAGUCGUGCCCGUUCUUCCGGUGGGUGACCGGCGAAUCAGUUUCAGUGCCGCUAGUAAGAACGAACUACAA